rnacentral:rRNA from 1 species
AGAGUUUGAUCCUGGCUCAGGACGAACGCUGGCGGCGUGCUUAACACAUGCAAGUCGAGCGGAAAGGCCCUUCGGGGUACUCGAGCGGCGAACGGGUGAGUAACACGUGGGCAACCUGCCCCUAGCUCUGGGAUAACUCCGGGAAACCGGUGCUAAUACCGGAUAUGACCUCAUUUGGCAUCCUUUGAGGUGGAAAGAUUUAUUGGCUAGGGAUGGGCCCGCGGCCUAUCAGCUUGUUGGUGGGGUAAUGGCCUACCAAGGCGACGACGGGUAGCCGGCCUGAGAGGGCGACCGGCCACACUGGGACUGAGACACGGCCCAGACUCCUACGGGAGGCAGCAGUGGGGAAUAUUGCGCAAUGGGCGAAAGCCUGACGCAGCGACGCCGCGUGAGGGAUGACGGCCUUCGGGUUGUAAACCUCUUUCAGCAGGGACGAAGCGAAAGUGACGGUACCUGCAGAAGAAGCGCCGGCCAACUACGUGCCAGCAGCCGCGGUAAUACGUAGGGCGCAAGCGUUGUCCGGAAUUAUUGGGCGUAAAGAGCUCGUAGGCGGUUUGUCACGUCGGCUGUGAAAACCCGAGGCUCAACCUCGGGCCUGCAGUCGAUACGGGCAGACUAGAGUGCUGUAGGGGAGACUGGAAUUCCUGGUGUAGCGGUGAAAUGCGCAGAUAUCANNANGAACACCGGUGGCGNNNNCGGGUCUCUGGGCAGUAACUGACGCUG